rnacentral:rRNA from 1 species
AAUAUUGGACAAUGGGGGCAACCCUGAUCUAGCCAUUUCGCGUGUGUGAUGAAGGCCUUCGGGUUGUAAAGCACUUUUGGCAGGAAAGAAAUCGCGCGGGCUAAUAUCCUGCGUGGAUGACGGUACCUGCAGAAUAAGCACCGGCUAACUACGUGCCAGCAGCCGCGGUAAUACGGAGGGGGCAAGCGUUGUUCGGAUUUACUGGGCGUAAAGGGCGCGUAGGCGGAUGUCCGCGUCAGAGGUGAAAGCCCCGGGCUCAACCUGGGAACUGCCUUUGAAACGGGACAUCUUGAGUUCGGAAGAGGGUAGCGGAAUUCCCAGUGUAGAGGUGAAAUUCGUAGAUAUUGGGAAGAACACCAGUAGCGAAGGCGGCUACCUGGUCCGACACUGACGCUGAGGCGCGAAAGCGUGGGGAGCAAAC